UGUGUUGCUUACCUGUCCCGAUGGUAUUCAUUAGACCCGUCGAUCUUUUUCGUCCCGCGUUCUCAUGGGGCGUGGGGUGAACUAGUUGGUGCCUUGCGUGUUCCUCUCUGAGCCAUUGGCUUCUGCCUUGGCCCAUGCUCGGUGGCUGGUACUCUCGGAUGCUGAAAAUUGUGUGGGCAAGAGGGUUCAAACCCCCUCGACCAAGCCCGGGCCUAGCGCUCGUCGCUCGAACAGGAAGACGCUGCUCCUCGCCUUGGCCUCACCGAACCAUCGGUUCCUGUGACGGCCAUGCGUGGUGCCAUCGUCUCGA
rnacentral:misc_RNA from 2 species